rnacentral:rRNA from 1 species
UACAACUUUCAGCAACGGAUCUCUUGGCUCUCGCAUCGAUGAAGAACGCAGCGAAAUGCGAUAAGUAAUGUGAAUUGCAGAAUUCAGUGAAUCAUCGAAUCUUUGAACGCACCUUGCGCUCCUUGGUAUUCCGAGGAGCAUGCCUGUUUGAGUGUCUAUUAAUUCUCAA